rnacentral:rRNA from 1 species
UGGGGAAUUUUGGACAAUGGGCGAAAGCCUGAUCCAGCAAUGCCGCGUGUGUGAAGAAGGCCUUCGGGUUGUAAAGCGCUUUUGUCCGGAAAGAAAUCCUUGGCUCUAAUACAGUCGGGGGAUGACGGUACCGGAAGAAUAAGCACCGGCUAACUACGUGCCAGCAGCCGCGGUAAUACGUAGGGUGCAAGCGUUAAUCGGAAUUACUGGGCGUAAAGCGUGCGCAGGCGGUUUGCUAAGACCGAUGUGAAAUCCCCGGGCUCAACCUGGGAACUGCAUUGGUGACUGGCAGGCUAGAGUAUGGCAGAGGGGGGUAGAAUUCCACGUGUAGCAGUGAAAUGCGUAGAGAUGUGGAGGAAUACCGAUGGCGAAGGCAGCCCCCUGGGCCAAUACUGACGCUCAUGCACGAAAGCGUGGGGAGCAAACAGGAUUAGAUACCCUGGUAGUCCACGCCCUAAACGAUGUCAACUAGUUGUUGGGGAUUCAUUUCCUUAGUAACGUAGCUAACGCGUGAAGUUGACCGCCUGGGGAGUACGGUCGCAAGAUUAAAACUCAAAUGAAUUGACGGGGUCAUAGCUGUUUCC